GGGGAAUUUUGGGCAAUGGGCGAAAGCCUGACCCAGCAACGCCGCGUGAGGGAUGAGGUAUUUCGGUAUGUAAACCUCGAAAGAAUGGGAAGAAUAAAUGACGGUACCAUUUAUAAGCUCCGGCUAACUACGUGCCAGCAGCCGCGGUAAUACGUAGGGAGCAAGCGUUGUUCGGAUUUACUGGGCGUAAAGGGCGCGUAGGCGGCGCGGUAAGUCACUUGUGAAAUCUCUGAGCUUAACUCAGAACGGCCAAGUGAUACUGCUGUGCUAGAGUGCGGAAGAGGCAACCGGAAUUCUUGGUGUAGCGGUGAAAUGCGUAGAUAUCAAGAGGAACACCUGAGGCGAAGGCGGGUUGCUGGGCCGACACUGACGCUGAUGCGCGAAAGCCAGGGGAGCAAACG
rnacentral:rRNA from 1 species